AAACUUUCAACAACGGAUCUCUUGGUUCUGGCAACGAUGAAGAACGCAGCGAAAAUGCGAUAAAUUAAUGUGAAUGCAGAAUUCAGUGAAUCAAUCGAAUCUUUGAAACGCACAUUGCGCCUCCUGGUAAUUCCGGGAGGCACGCCUGUCCGACGCCAU
rnacentral:rRNA from 1 species